rnacentral:rRNA from 1 species
AACAUUGCGCAACGGGGGAAACCCUGACUCAGCAACGCCGCCUGAGCGACGACGGCCGUCGCGUCGUAAAGCUCUGUCUAUUGGGACGAAGCCUACUAAGAAAAUCGCUUAUUAGGCGACGGUACCAAUAAAGGAAUCCCCCGCUAACCAUGUUCCAGCAGCCGCGGUAAUACGUAGGGGGCGAGCGUUGGCCGGAAUUACUGGGCGUAAAGGGCGUGUAGGCGGCUAAAUAAGUCAGGUGUGAAAACUGUGGGCUCAACCCAGAGAUUGCACCUGAAACUGUCUAGCUUGAGGGUAGGAGAGGAAAGUGGAAUUCCUAGUGUAGCGGUGAAAUGCGUAGAUAUUAGGAGGAACACCAGUAGCGAAGGCGACUUUCUGGCCUAACCCUGACGCUGAGGCGCGAAAGCGUGGGGAGCAAAC